CAGGCCCUACUAUAUAAACCACAACAACGACUCCAAUCUCCUGAUGGUUUCAGGUCCGCAGCACCUUCAGUGGAGAAGCUGGCAGCGGUUGAUAUCUGAGGUUCCACCUGCUGUUGGUCAGGUGCUGAUUGAGAUGCUUCUGGGGAUAGGCAGGAGGUUUCCUUGACCCCAGAUCAAUUUUUUGGCAUAUCCUGUGUUUGAAUCUUUCAUGAUCUCUUGUUGUGUCCAUGAGCCAUGAGCUUGAGAAAAAUACAUUCAAAGUAGAGACCUCUGUUGAUAGGCUGCUGGCAGGAGACCAUGGGCCAGUGUUCAUCUUUCCCAGGUCACACUUGUGGUCACCAGGGGCCUAGGGAGAGACAGAGUCAAAGUUGGGCUUAGGAGGAGGGGUCCUGCAGUGUGGUCGGCACUUAAAAUACACAAUGGGCUGAUUGCAUGGGGAUGUUACUCUAAUGAGAGGAGACAAUUCAAGAAGGCGGUUGAGCUCAGUGACCCAGAGCAAAAGGAAGGUGCCUGAUGGCCUGGGCUCAGAUACCAGCUAGAAGCUGUGUGACCCUGGGAAAGUGACUUAACCUCUCUGUGCUCAGUUCCCUGCCAUGUGAUGUGGAGAUGUUAAUGGGGCCUGCCUAUUAGCAUUAUGUUAUGAAACUUACUCUAAGCAGAUCCAGAUUAAGCCUGAAUAAGAAUGACCUCCUAAGUGCUACAAAAGUGUUCAAAUAUGAAAUGUCUGGAGGAAUGAGGCAGACAUGUAGCAAUGGCUGCCUCCAGAGAAGAAGCCUGGAUGGCUACAAGUCAUGCAAGGUGUAAGGUCAGUUUCCAGCCUUUAUAUGGGUAGGAUACCUUAUAGCCUUUCAAGAGGAUCUGCUGUCAUCUCGUGACCCUCACAUGAGCCCUGUGGGGUGGGCAGAGCUGGGCUGUAACUUAUUUUACAGUUGAGGGCACUGAAAUUUGGAGGGGUGAAGUGACUUUCCCAGAGCCACAAAACUGAGGAGGGAUGGGCCUGAGCUAAGAAUGUAUUUGGUUUCCUGGAGAUAGAGAUCCCCAAGCCUGGAGUCCUCUAGAUCAUUCCCUGGGCCCCUGAACCGGGGCUUCUCUCACUCCAUUUCCCAAAUCCUCUUGCUGUAAGAUUGCUUUGGGGAAAGGUGAUGUCCUGCAGGAGCUGUCUGGCCCAGGUUUCUGCCUCAGUAUUUUAAUCUCUUGCCCAAAAUAUGAUGCAACUGACCCCGAACAAAGGUCCCUUGAAGAACCAGGCUGUCCAAAUCUGUGUCACUCCUCCCCCAGCACCUUCACGCCGUGAGCUGCCUCAAGGUGAGGUUUCCAGUGCUUCAGCGACUACCCUGAGUGACUAGUGGCCUGCUUGACUCCCAGCUGGCUCAGAGAUCAGGACACACAAGCCAGACACACCCAUAGGACACAGCCUCACAAAGAAUAGCUUCACUGCAACUGACAAAGUUAUGAGCAGUGAAGGUGAAUUAACUGGGGAAGAGGCCUACUGGGCUGGUGCUUGGGUGACUCAGUGACAGUAACCUACAGGCUCUCAAGAUGUUAUGGACUAAAGGUCUGAGCAGCUGUCUGAGCAGCCCGGACUCGGGCCUGGCUGAAAAGGUACGGUAAUGGCUGCUCCAACACAGAGCGGGCGCCUCUCUGCUCACGUCCUUCCUCACCAAAGCUCAGUCUCUACAAACUCCUCUUUCCUACCUAGACCCUGUGGGGGCAGAGGCAGUGUUCAUCUCCUCUUAGAGGGAUCUGUCGUCCAUUGCCAUAGCCUGGAGACCCCAUCCCAGGAUCCUUCCUGAGAACUACCCAGGGCUGCCUCCUGUCUGUCACCAAAUGUGCACUCCACGAACCCAGUGGCACUGUCCCUCCUCAUCUCUCACCCCAGCAGCACCUAAACAGCCAGUGGUCCUGUCCUCAUUAAUCCCAUGCAAAUUCCACCAUGAGAUUUCAGUUGCUUUCUUUUCCAGACAUCUCUGAAUCGAGACUCUGCUGAAGAUUGGCGUCAGAUUUUGCUAGACACACUCAGGAGCCUUUGGCCUGAGAUUCGUUCCCCUUCCCUGCAGUGUUCAUUGCUAGGGUGGCAUCAAGAGUCUCUUGAUCUGUUGAAGGCAGCGUGGAUGAGUCCCCGGACAUCUACCCUCUGGAAGAGUAUGUAGGAGACCUGGCAUUCUUUCUACCUCAAACAUUGGGUAGAAAUCAGAGGAAAUCAACCUGUGCCUAAGGUUGGCUUUGUGGCAAAAAAAAAAUUUUUAUUCUUGCUAUAUUUUGUCUUUAAAUCGAUGCUGAUUUUACCUACAGUACGGUGCACAGAUAGGAAGUGUACAGCCUUACGACUUCUAUGAACAAGUCUGUUGCUAACCCCCAGUUCAACACACAGAAUGUCAACAGUACCCUAGCAGUGUGCUAUGGGUGGGGAUGGGAAUCACACCUAACAUCAGGGUUUAAGAAAGAAACUAGUUAUUCCAUGUAUGUUCUGAGCACAAGACAUAUGAUUAGCACAGAAUGAGUGGGGCAGUAUCCUCAGAAGGUGGGGGGCAGAGCAGAACAGCUGGAAAAAGCCAACAGAGGUGCGGGGUACUUUCCAUAAGGAAGUCUGAGGACAGGGCCAGGAAGCCAGGAGAAACUUACCGGGAUCACUGGGCUUCUACGGAAGGAAACGCGACCACUGCACCAAGUGUAGUGCUCAGAACAGUCCAUCCAGGCCUGCCUUUGCUUAGGCUGCUUUUUAUAUUUAUAUAUUUAUUUUUUAUAUAAAAUAUUUUAAAAUAAAGCUACUAGUAGAUAAAGCCUCCAGCAUUAAAAAUAAAUGUUUCUAAACGCAAUCCCAAAUCUACCGCCUUUAUCUUCCCACUUCCCCGUUUCUAUUGGAUUAUAGCUCUCACCUCCAGUCUCAUUAACCUGAAAUUCCAACUUUGAUGCACAGGCUUCUUAAUUAGAUGAGUUCAAUGAAGAGACCCCAUUCCAACAGCUUCCCAAGAGUGCGUUCUGUGCAACUGGAAAUGCUCUCUCUUUGCUGUUGAAUAUGGUGGCCAGCAGCACGUAACUCUCUGGGGCACCGGAAAUGUUGCCAGUGUGACUGAUGAGUGGAAUGUCUCAUUUUAUUUUAAUGAACUGCACUAAUUAGUUAUAAACAGCACCUCCAGGUAGGGACACUCCCAUGCUGGAUAGUGCAGCUCUAGAGAUACAAAGAUGAGGAAGACGUGACUCUCCUCCCCAGGUAUUUCCUUGCAGAAAAGUUGGCGGUUCUGAUCCAAUCAUUCAUGUAUGGGUGCUUUCUGGGCCCCUGCACAAGGGCCAGGCACUGUGUGAGGCCUGGGGACACAACAGUGAAGAGAGCAGAGGGCCCAGAGGGAUCCAGUGGGAGUGAGGGAGUGCACCUGCACAUAGAGGGGAGGAGCAGACCCUGUCUAGACCAGAUCAGAGCAGAGGCACACCCCUCACCUCCCCUGACCUGGGUCAGACCCUGGGAAAAUACCUCUCCCAGUGUGAGGUCCCGCAGUCUGGACAGGGUGAGGAGGGAACCUUUGCCCACUCAAGCUUGACUAGAGCCCAGCUAAGGGUGUGUUCAUGAGACCUUCAUGGGGCCUAAGACGGGCUGCCCAGGGCCGAGUGCUAUGAUGAAAGGAAGUGCGAGGGCAGAGUUCCUGCCCUCACACUGACCAGCCGUGGCCAGAAUUCCUCUCCCCAUGAGUGGGAGGACACAGUUUGGGCCUGAGGACUCCAAGACCAUUUCAGAGAAACUCUUAAAUGCAUGUCCUCCGGGCGAUAAAAGGGAGGAACAAAGAUGACCUGAGGUUCUGGGAUCAGCCUCCCUCACUUUGCUGAGCUGGCCCUGCGUGGGAGCUGGUGCCCACCCCCCUGCCCAACAGCUAUAGUGAGUGCAGACGCCGUGGCCAGGGGGUGCCACACAGCCUUCAGUUUCAAUGCGCUUCUGAGCUGGGCAAUCCUUGGCUAGCACUGUCUACACAAGGGCAGUUGACAGGCAACUUCCGGAAGCAGGUGAAAGAAUGUGAUCCCUGCCCAGGACCAGGGAGAUCCGGCCUGGGAACCUCUCUGUGUCUGGGCUGACCUUGAGGUUGUCCCUGCUGACCUAUGUCCUCCCAGUCUGGCUCAGAGGACUGGAAACCUGGUUCCUGCUCUCUGCCCCUCAUUAGCUUCCAUGAUGGGAAAAGCCUGGUUUGUCACAAAGGAGGAUGAAGAUGCCAGCCCCCAGCUCCUGUCACAGAGCUUCAGCAGGAAGGAGCCCCCUGUCCUGAGAAGUUUCAGAGAUGUCUAUGCUGAGCUCACUCAAGCCACAACAGCCACUCCUUGCUCUUUCCCACUUAGAAGGAGCAGAGAAAUCACUGGACUCAGGAUGAUGAUGUGAUAAUUAUCCCGAGAUUAAAAUCCUGGGAUUCAUCUUCCCCCAUCCUCAUCCUUGCCUGGCCCAGGCAGUGUGUGACAUCCAUCUGCCACUCUAUAUUUUCUCCUCUAAAGGUCAAGCCUGGGGCCCUGAGUCCUGCUUUCUCCCGCAGAGCUCACUGGGUGACUGUCUCGGAGUUCUUGGAGCCCUUGGUCUUGGUGUCACUCAUUUUAGCAUUUGGUCUCUCACCUCAGGUUUUUUUUCUCAAGCACCGCUGGGAACCUGUGUUCUAGAGAAGAAAAAUUUCUAGGAGAAUCUUGAUAUGAGAAGCGUGUUUCUGUGGCAAAAAGUUACCCUUUUCAGCGGUCUCAUCUUUUUGUUUUGUGGGGAAAAAUACUAAGAACUCAAUUGUAGGGCAAUGGAAUUCUAUGAAAAUACAAAGCAUUUCACAUGGUGUUUAUGAUCCCAAAGGUUCCUCAAGCCAUAAUUUGCCUCAUUUUACCUUUGCUGAAGCCAGAAUCCUGUUUCCUUGCAAAGGCCCUCAGAAGCCAGCAGGAACCUGUUUCACCCAGAAGGUUUCACAGAAACUGGAGUAGGGAUUCUUCUGUUGCACGGCCAUGUUUAUCUUUCCCCACCUUGCAGUGCACAACCUACCAUGUCCUCCUCCUCAGGAAGGGAGCCAUGUGCCCACCCUGAUGCUCUAUCCCUGAAGAAGCCCCUUGUCACUUUACAUAGUGUGUGUUGCCCUGCCACACAGAAGCCAUGGCUGCCAUAGUUGAUGGGAGGCAGAUUUUCCACAUGGGCAUGCGAUUUCAUAUUCCUGGCAACAUUUUCUUCAGUGAAACAUUAGACCUCAACUGAGAAGCUAAAGGAAAAUGUACCUGACUCUGCCUGGAGACCCCUCCUUUCUCAGAUUCCUGCUGGAACUCGUGGUGGUGGAUGACUGCACUAGGGGCUCCCUGAAAAAGGAAGGAGCCCUGGCUAGGACUCGUUGCUUUUAACAUGGGGUGAAAAUUGAUUUUGAGGCUUCCUGUAAUAAUAAUGCCUUUGGGGAAUACGGAGAGAGGUACAGGAGUGAAGCAUCAAUUUGGAAAAUAUCCCUUGAAAUGCUAAAAGUUAUCUGAGGGGACAGGGGCUCUGAGAUUCCUCCAGUCUUUGCCCUGGAAAGUGCCCUAGGCCAGGAAACUCAGGAACAAGGAUUAAAAAUCCGAAUGGAUGCCAAACUCAUAGUAGAAGUCUAGGAUCUCUCCCAGGAAGUAAAGGUGGGAAGAAAGUGCAUGGGAUUGGGAAUCACAGGGUGAAUCUAAAAGGGACUCCCUUUCCAUUUGCUGGAUGUGCAACUCUGCAUAAGUUGUCCACAUUCUCAAGCCUCUUUUUUCUCAUAAGUCACCUAAGGAGUUACAGAUUCUCUUCUACGAUCAAUCAAACUUCCACAAGAAACAGUCAGGGCCUACUUGGAAGUGAAAUUAUUAUGAAUGGAAGGUGUUGAGCCAGUAAUAGGAAUCCUGGCACACAGCUUUUCUUCUAGAACGCUGUGAACAUUUUCCUGGAUGGUGACAGUAUUUUUUCCCCUUGUUUAUUGAUGUAUACUUGUGUCAACGACAAGAGUCUCACUCUGUAAAAUAUUCAAGGAAGUUUAUUCUGAGCCAAAUAUGAGUGACCAAGGCCCAUGACACAGCCCGAGGAGGUCCUGAGAAUGUGUAUCCAAGAUGGUUGGGUUAUAGCUUUAUUUUAUUCAUUUUAGGAGGAUAGAAGUUAUAGGCAGAUAUCAAAUCAAUACCUGUAAGGUAUACAUUGAUUUGGUCCAGAAAGGCAGGACAGCUCAAAGUAGGGGCUUCCAGGUUAUAGAUGGAUUCAAAGAUUUUCUCAUUGGCAAUUGGUUGAAAGAGCUAUUAUCUAAAGACCUGGAAUCAAUAGAAAGGAAUGUCAGGGUUAACAUAAGGGCUCAUGGAGAUCAUGAUUAUUGUGCUGCUGAAGCCUCCAGAUAGCAGGCUUCAGAGAGAAUAGAUGAUAAAUGUGUCUGAUCAAACUUAAAAAGGUGCAACACUCUUAAACUCUUCUGGGUUAGGAAAAGACCUGGAAAGGGAAGGGGAAUCUCGAUAGGAUGUAGAUUUUCUCUGCAAGAGACAGCUUUGCCAGGGCCAUUUUUAAAUAUGUCAGAUAAAACAUUUUGGAAUACUUAGAUUGCUUUCAGGACCUGCUGUCUGUCAUGUGAUGCUAUAGUAGUGUCAGGUUGGAAUUUAGUAUCUUAUUGCUACAAAGAGUCUGUUUUUCAGUCUUAAGAUUUAUGUUUUAAUAGUAAUGCCGGUCAGUUGUGCCUGAUUCCAAAGGGAGGAGGGUAAAAUGAGGCACCUCUGACCCCCAUCCCCAAUCCCAUCAUGUCUUGAAUUAAUUUUUCAGAUUUACUGUUGAAUGUCCUUGGCCAAGAAGGGGAAUCUCUUCAGUCAGUUGAGAGGCUUAGAAUUUUAUUUUUGCUUUAUACUUUACAUACAAUAAACUGCACAUACUUAAAAGUGUACAAUUUGAAAAAUUUUGUCAUACAUCCUGAAGUGUAAUAAUGAAUAUAGCCAGUCUGUGUCUUCAGUUCUUGUCACAAGAUUUUGAAACCCCUUGAAAUUUCCUGCAUAAGAUUGCCUUUGUUAUGCCAAUGAGGGGGCUCAGUGUGGGCCCUGGACAGCUUAUGGAUGAGAGUGAAAGACCAACCACGUUAUGAGAGGGUUGUUUGGGCCAACCAACCUUCAGAAAGGUGGGGGUGGGGACUAGAGACUGACUUCAGUCACAUAGCCAAGUCUUUAAUCGAUCAUGUCUACUUACAAUGAAACCCCAAUAAAAACCCUGAACACCAAAGCUCGGUGGAACUCCCAGGUUUAUGAACAAUUGAUAAGCUGAAGGGGAGACACCCUGUGACUCCCAGGAGAAAGGAUAUGGAAGCUAUGCUUCCAAGACCCUGCUCCCUGCCACCUUCCCCCCACACACCUUGCCCUAUGUGAGUCCUUUAUAAGCAAAUAGUAAAGGUAGUGCUUUCCUAAGUUCUGUGAGGUAUUUCUAGUGAAUUAUUGAGUCUUAGGGUGGCAGUGUUGGUAAUCUCUGAAUUCAUAGUGGCCUGCACAUCCCUAAAGUGCAGAUGGUGUCUCAAGUAAGGGCAGUCAGGUGGAAGGUUUUGUCCUGGACUUGUGGGAUCAGAUACAGACUGUGUGGUGAUCAUCAGAACCGAAUUGUAGUACACCCAGGUAGAAGACAGAUAUGCCCAAGGGAGCAAUGGUGAAGGGAUUAUUAAUGGAGGAAGCUGACCCUUGCAGGUUUGCUGUGUAAGGGAGAUAUAACUCUAGGGGAAACACAGACAUACACACAAUCACACCACUUAAAUUCACAUAUAGACACACCCCACUGUCCAUGUACACAAACAUGGCAUCAAGAGGGAACACAGCUGCUUGUCAACACAUGAACAUAGUGCUGUGCCUAGAAAAUAUUUUUUUCCUGUCACACCACCAAUCCUCAUUCCCCUCAGAAAACUAGAGUCAGGGUGGCUCUCUAGACUAAAGUCAGAAAGAAAGACCCCUCAGGCAUAUCAUCUAGAUUUUCCUCAGCAAAAUCUGGUCCAGUGACUUCACCAGAAUACGCAUGAUUUUAAUUUUUUUUUUUUUUUUUGCUUUUUUUUUUCUUCUUCUGAGACUACCUGCAAUUACAGAAAAACAAACACUGUGAGAAUCAGCUCAUAUUAUGUACUGUUUGUACAGGCCUUCUUGGUGGCUUUGUAAAAACAAGAUGGGAAAUGGUGGUCAAGUCAAGGGAAUAUAAAAGCAAGAGCAGAGAAAAUCUACCUGUGCCAAAGGACACACACUUUUUCUGGGGGAUGUUUCUCUCACAUCUAUUUUGGUUGGCAAAUGCAAAAAUCUUAACCCAAGGGGGAAAAAUUGCAACUGAGGAAAAGGCCCCCUAUCAAUAGCUUAGAACCUGAUACUCCCAGAUCUGAGUGUCCUCUUGCAUCAGGGAUCAGUUUGUAAGAGACUCUCCUUCUAGCCCCAAGAGGAAACUGUCACUAACAUCUGUAAUGUAUAUGAUUGAGUUUUCAUAUCUGAAUUCAACUGAUAAAGAAAAAAAAAGAUAAAGCAACACUGCUGUCUCAGACAAAGAAAGGCAAUCUUAACUUGGCAUUAGAUGAAAAAUCAUGCUGAACUUCAGUAAACCUUUCUGUUUAAGAAAGCCUUUGCAGGUUUGAUGCUGAACAUCAAACACUGUGACACAGGCUCACACACUGUUGAAAUGAUGGAAUCCUCAGAGGGACACAAGGCAUUGGCUCGGCAGAGUGUCCACACGCCUGCCUGCCCUUCUCUGGCUGAGAUGGGAUAGUCGACCUCACACACGUAAUGACAGGACAUCUGGAAAUGCGGAGGCCCAAGGAAGUUCGUGUCUGGAUCAGAUUUUCCCUUUGACUGUGGCCCAGGAAUGGGAAUGGGCUCCUGGGAGGGCGUUUGCUUCCCUAAGGGGGGAAGUGGCAUGGAAAGGGACAGGAAUUCUCUACAUUACAGGGUUGUUGUAACCCUGAUCUCUUGGUGUGACCACAAAGUAAGAGCAGGGAGGCAUCCUCAGGUGUCCCCAAUGCCCCAGAGAAGGGGCAGCUUGUCCCAGAGUCUCAGCAGCCAUGGGAAGGUCCAAUCUGACCACAACACAGCUCCAGGGUUCUCCCUUCCAUCCUCCCUUGGUGUUGUCUUAGUUUGGGAUGGGUCUCGCCAGGUGUUAGUAAGAAAUUCCAGCCUCAACCUCCAAGGAGAGGUUGGAAGCAAGCUCCUAUCACCCUCUCCGGGUCUCGUGUCCUUUUUGGGUGUGUUCGGGGUGUCUGACUCAAAAGGGCUGUGUUAGUAGCACCCCGAGUGUGAUCUCUAAAUCCCGCUUGCCACUUCAAGGAACCGGUCCACUUGGGGUUAAUGACCAACUUCAGGCAUGAAGCAGGAGAAAGAUGCGCCCAGGACAGAAUGUGAACAGAGAACAGAAAGCCAGGUCUACUGGGUUCUCUCAGGAGGAUCCUGGGGCCACCAGAAAAGGCACGGUGGGUCAUUGUCAUCAGAAUCGGGGGCGGGGUGGCGGGGGGAUUGCAAGAUCUGCCUGGCCUGAGCAAGAUGCCAUGCAGGCCUCCAGGCUACAGUGGAGUAUGGAGGGAAGGGGUGACCAGGUGAGGAAGAGCCUCUUUGGAUGAUGUCUCAGAUAGAUGAGAGCCUCUCCUGGAGGUAGCAAAUUGAACAUGAGAUAAAAAAUAAUGAGAUGGAACAGGAUUUCUAAUUGACAAUAUUUAUUGAGGGUUACUUGGAUGCAGGGAGAGGGGCUGGAUGCCUUGGGGUGAGAGAGGAGACCCCUGCCCUGGGAUCCUGCAGCUCCAGGACCCUAUGGACGGGGUGAGAGUCGGGGGCCCGAGCAUGUUUUGCAGGGGUCACUGUCAACUUCACAGUGCUCCUCUUAUGCGUGACCUGGCAGCUAUAGCUUCUGUGGGACCUCCACUGGUCAGGCUCAGGUAGCUGCUGCCUGCGUACUUCUUGUUGUUCUAUUUGGAGGGUUUUGUAGUUUCCAUGUCCUGGGUGAUGGGGGUGCCGUCUGCCUUCCAGGCCACCAUCACAGCACCUGAGGGGAAGUCACUGAUGAGACACACCAGUGUGACCUUGUUGUCUUGGAGCUCCUCAGAGGAGGGCAGAAACAGAGUGACUGUGUGGGUGGCCUUCGGCUAUCCUGUGGGGUGUAGGAGGGACAGGACAUCAGAGGCUGAGCUUCCAUGGAGGGAGCCCUGACCUUAGUGUGUAGCAGGGGUCAGGCCCCCGGUUCCAGUGCAGGACACUUCAGAUGUGGGCCACAAUGUCCCCGAGGAGGGUGCCUCAGAGUGUUCCUGAAACAAAUCUGCCAGUCCUGAGAACUCCAGAGCCCGGCCCCUGCCUGUUUUGAGACCCUCGUAGGCCUUGACCUGUCACACACACAGGGGACCUUCAGUCAUCUGCCCCUGCCACCUCCUGACAUCCUGACAGGGAAUCUGGGAUCUCUUUGCCCCCCGAUCUCCUAGAUCCUCUGCUGUGGUCUAUGCUGGGCAUAUUUGUGACCUGACUCCUCUGUUCUGAGGGAUUCAGGCCUUUGCCCUUCAGGUCUCUUUUACCCAAAUGUGGGUCCUGGAGCCUCCCUAUGGAGUAAAGGCCUUGGAGGACCAGAGAGUUUGUCCUGGACUUCUCUUACUCUACAGGGUCUUUUCUGCUGUCCUCUCCCUGCUGCCCUCCAGCUACCUGGUCAUAGGACAGGGGUCUACGCUAUGUACCCUGCCCCUUGUCCCCUCUGGGAUUCUCGUGUGGAAGGAAGGGAGUGUGUCCUGCAGACUCAGGAGCCCUGUCCUUAGAUGACCCUUCCUGCAGCCCCCUGGAGUCCAGGGACUUCCCCUCCCUCCUCCCUUCUGCAGGGUUCCUGUGUCCCACACUGGCUCAAGGCCUUGUCACAUGGGGGCGCUGAGCCACAUGAGUGAGGGAGGGAGUAGGGCCUGGUGAGUUGGGGUCUAGGGUAGCUGAGUCCCGUGAAAGCCUGUUCUUGCCUGUAGCCCUCAAGUCACAUUCACCCUGCCUUGACCUAGUGUGACCUGGCCCCAAUUCCUAACGGAAUAGGAUUCUGACACAGCUUCCAUCAGACAACCAAUGGAUGCCCAUUCUGUGAUGGGGAUGGCACCUUUCUCAUUUGACCCAGUCCACCUGAGUCCUAACUUCACACAGGCUGGCCAUGAUGGCUCCAGCCAUAACCAUACACUAACUGUACCCUGCACCCUGUCUUUAGAAUUGGAUACUCUUCAAGGUUGAGAUCUCAGCCCCAUGCUCUGUCCCUGGCCUGGCUGGUGUCAACACUGAGCCUGAUCCUUUUAAUCACAGUGAAUCACCUGUGUGCCUCGUGUCCCAGCACUAGCGACAUGAGCACCAGUGUCUUGAAGGAGCAUUCUAGGGCUUGCUAAGUUGGUUGGGACAGUGAAUAGAAUUAUUGACUUUAAAGGUUAUAUAAAAUUAACUGUUUUCCAACUGCAGGACUUGCCAGUAGCUUUUAUAGCUAAUGUGCAUUUUAAAACUGAAAACUACAUGGAAGUGUUCCCUUUUCCAGCCUUUUCAUGCCCCUUGGUGAUGGCACAACCAUGGACCCCUCACCGAGUAAAUGGUCCUCUAACCGAGUUAAUGGAUGGGACUGGGAGAUUCAUCCCUGUUCCUGGUUGGGUUAUGGCCUGGGCUGAAGGGUUUUCUGCCUCUAGCCCACAGCAGAGCUCCUGGAACCCUCCUCAUUUUUCCCUGAUGCCCCUCUCAGGGCCACUAUUGUAUCCUCACUAGACUCCACAUCCUUCCCAGGUGAGCAAGAACCGCACCCCAGGACCCACUGUCCAGGGAAAACUCCCUACUGCUCAGGCAUCAGGCUCAGUUAGCUGUUGGCUGGGUACCUCUCUGAUAUCUCAUCCCACUCUGAACCUUCCCUCCUCUCCUCAGCAGCCUCCAUCCCCUCGGUGGCCUCUCCCGGGGCCAGCACCUCUGUGACUCCCCAUACAUCCGCUCCUCCACCUCGAUUGCCUUUGCUGGGGCCACUGUGGGGCCCUGCUGUGCCUCCAGGUGACAGACCAUAUCUAAAAUAGUCAAGGAUAGAAGAAAUAGGCAAAGGUCAGGGAACAGGCAGGCCAUGGCACAGGAGGGAAGCCCUUGUAGGGGCUCACAUCUCAUCCUCCUUGAGUGCAGUAUGAAGACCCACAGGCUCACUCCUAAUAUGAAAGGACAGUUCUCAGCGCCUGGCUAGGGAAUGCCUCCAACCCUCCUCAGAGAAACAACAGAGAUUGGGGUGAGGGGCAUGGGGAGCACCAUGGGAUCAGUAUGGAGCCGCUGAGCCCUCAAGUGGGUGAUGGAGGUGGUGUCACAGCUGCACAGGCCUCCCUGGGGAGCUGCAGCAACGCCACCCUCGCCUGUCUCCAUAGGUCUAGGGCAGGUGGUCGCUGAUCCUCUGAGCAUGUCCCCUGCAUCCCCUUGAUCAGGAGGACAGAAGCAGCCCCUUCAGUCAUGGAAAUAAACACCACUCUUUUUGGCAACAUCUUGGGGAAUGUCUUCUCAAGGCAGCUCCCAGUUUCACAGCCUGGUCCAUAGUAAGGCUCGCCCUGGAACCUCACAUGCACAUUCCUGGUGAGGUCCAAGAGAAAAGCCCAGGAAGGCACAGGAAAGUCGCCAUCAUUUCUCUAGGCCACAUUAGGGAAAAUGCUUAACUGUGGGGCUUGAACAUUGCUGAGAUGUCCCUGUAGCACAUGCGGGCCUGCCCCUUGGGGCCUGCUCACCUUGGGUCAGCACCCUGGUCAGCUCCUGGAAAUGGUUUACCCUGGAUGAGGAGGGGACAACCCCUUUGUUCAGCGUUUUUCAGUUCACCCACACCCUUGUCUCCAUUCUCAAAAGCCCAUUUUGUCACACCAUUAUCAGCUUCUGGGACCUAAGAGGCUGCUAGUGGGAGUGGGGCAACGGGGAGCCGGUCUGGAAAAGGCAACUGGUCGUUCAACUGCAGCCCAAAGGCACAACUGCCACCCCAGACAGCCAAGGCUGGACAAGGGCAGGGGGACAGCCAGUAGCUAGGAGCUCACACUGUGGAGGGAGCCUGCUUGUGUUGAGACCCCAGCUGUACCCUGACUGUUUAUCUACGGAGCCUGGACAAGUUAACUGCUCAGUGUCUGUUUCCCUAGCUCUAAAAUGGGGAUAGCAAUUGUAAUUGUGCCUAUCAUAAAUGGGUGUGAAUUUGUCAGUGUUUAGUGCAUUAUACUGAGAGCAAGUGCCUUGCCCAUUGUGGGUACCCAGCGAGCCAAUUUACACCCCCUCAGAGGAGAGCCAUCAACAGGCAUCUGAGGGACCCUGGAGCCCUGCAUCCUGCAGGUGCCUGAGGUCCUGUACCUAGGAGAAGCCACUCCCCAACCCCAUAGCAGUCUACAGAGCACUGUCUGGCCAGACUACACUUCUUUGUGCAGGUGUCAGGAGGGAGCUCUGGGCCUCCCUGGGCUCUGUCCUUCCCAGGCUGGACUGUAGAGAGCCCAGGACCCUGCCUUCCUUUCAGCCAGGCCCUUUUUUCCCUCCCUACCCCAAACUCACAGCCUCCUCAUCACUCUCUGCCUCAGAUUCCAGACUAAUCUCAUAUGUCCUUUAUCCCUGUUUACAUCAGGGGCUGCAAGAAGCUCAGGUCACCCACCCACUAUGGCCCUGAACACUCCUUUUCUGACCCCAUCUGCUGAAACCUUUCCUCUGAGCCCUCAGGAGACCCAGGGCAGCCUCUCCCUGGAACAUUCUCUCCCUUGCUGUUUGGACUGAAACCUAGUCCUCCCUGAGACCUGCUUUCCCACCCUGGGUGUCCUGCUGUGCAGAGCUGAUUUCCUCACUUCCUGCCCCUCAAACCCUAACUGGAGUUAGACAGGUCCUGACAGACCAUCUCCUGCACCCAUUCUGAGGAGCCCUCUGGUUCCAAAUCCCUGCACAGGCUCUUUGACCCCGGCCCUCUCCCUUUUCUGGCACCACUCCACCAGAUUGCUCUUGCGGGGCACAAUGUGGUCUCUGUGUGGCUGAACCCAACCGCCAGUCAUCAGGCUUCAUCUUUCUUCAGCCAUGAGCAUUUCCCUUCAGUGGAUCCUCACCACUUCCCCACCGGAAACGUUUCCAGGAAACGAGGCGUUUCUUUGCAAUCUUGGUUCUUCAGUCACGUGCUAUUGUGCUCUUUAAAAGACUGAUAAACAUCUUGGUGCAUGUAACCCUUUAGGGAAGUGGAAAGACACCAGGGGCUGCUGCGUAUGUACCUCUCUGCCGUACCAAGUAAGACUGGCAAAGGAAACUGGACCACCAAGCCACAUCCCAUCACUGGAGACCUCCCCUGGCCUGCACUCAUCUUGGGCCUCCCUGUCCUCUCCAUGUGCUACUGGGGUGCUGAUCAGGUGGUGGCCAACGCGGUGGCAGCGCUCUCAGAAAUCGCCCAGUCUCACCCCAGCAGCAACCUGCUCAAUCUGAACCCACAGUCCAUCAACAAGCUGCUGACAGCCCUGAACGAGUGCACCGAGUGGGGCCAGAUCUUCAUCCUGGACUGCUUGGCCAACUAUAUACCCAAGGACGACCGAGAGGCCCAGAGGGGAGAUCUUCGAGCUGAAGGCAGAGCUCAACAGUGACAAGAAGGAGAAGAAGAAGGAGGCAGUGAAGAAAGUGAUUGCAUCGAUGACCGUGGGCAAAGAUGUCAGGUGUGCAGGAGCAGGCCUGGUGGCAGCUGGAGGCGGCUGACAGGGGAGGGUUUACAGCUUGGGUCCACUUCAGUCUCUGCCUUCGGGUGUCUAGGGACCCAUGUCUCCCCUCAUACAGCUCCCUUCGUAGAACUUUCUUCCCCGUCGAAGGUUUUGUUUACCCGGGAAUCAGGAGCCCAGAUGCUGACAGUCAGGUGGUGAUGGAGUGAGUUAACUGGAGUAGGUGGGAAAGGCAGCAGGGGAUGGAGUGGGUGUGGCAUGAACCCUUUCAGAAACUCCAGAGGAUCAUUACUGGCUGGGGAAGAGGACCCAGUGUGGCCAGGUCUUCUGGUUUUUAAAAAGAAUGGGAAAUCUGGGUCAGGCGUGGUGGCUCAUGCCUGUAAUCCUAGCACUU